AGAGGCAGAAGUGAAGGUGCCGGCAAGCAAAGCUUGGGCUCUCUUUAGCUCUCUUGAGCUUGGAAACCUUCCCAUCGGAAAAAUCUUUGAAGGAAUUGACAUCGUUGAAGGUGAUGGAGGGCCGGGUACCAUUCUUAAGCUUACCUUCAAGCCCGGGUUAGGAUUCUCAUAUUGCAAAGAGAAGUUCACAAAGGUUGAUCAUGCAAAUAUGGUUAAAGAAAGCCAAGUAGUUGAAGGAGGGAUUCUUGAUUUCGGAUUAAAUUUAUAUCGGAUAAGGGUUGAGAUCAAAGAGAACCCAAAAGACGGGUCGGGCUCAACAAGUGUUAUGAAACUAACAAUCGAAUAUGACAUUAAGGAAGACUUUGCUGCUAAUGCUUCUUUUAUCACCACCGAGCCACUCCUUGCCAUCAUGAACGUUGCAAAGGAGCAUCUUUUGAAAUCUAAUUAACACGGGAAAUGUUUAUUAUCAUAUUAUUAUUAUGAUAGUGUUAUUAAUAAGAAUAAACUCGUAUUACUUUUAUGUA